CCACGCUCCUCUCUCACACGCGUGGCCUCGCCCUCCUCUCACGCGCGCCGCCUCACCCUCCUCGGAUACUCCUCCGCUCGCUUUGCGCCAUCGCCGCCACCGACGCCUUCCUCCCUAAGCCCUCCCCCUCCUCCUCCGCCCCAUUCCUCCUCCUCCUCUCCCCGUCCACGCCGCGCCUCCACAUCCGCUCCACCCGCCGCCUCUCACUCGCGCAGCUCGCUGCAUCCGACUCCUUCCAAUCCUCUUCAUCCUCCGCCGCCGCGCUUGACUUCGCUGAGCCCGGCGCCGCCGACGAGUCCGAUGUGCCGGAGGAGUCUGACCAGGAGGAGGGGUACGCGCCGGAGGCCGAGGAGGCGGCGGAUGAGAUGAUGAUGAGGAGGAGGAAGCCGUCGAGGCCUCCGCGGAAGUUGCGGAGGAGCCUAAGGACGUAGAGGAGGUCAGCGAGUACGUGGAGCCGCCUGCGGAGGCCAAGGUAUACGUCGGGAACCUACCCUACAACAUCGACAGCGAGCGCCUCGCCCAACUCUUCGAACAGGAAGGCGUCGUCGAGGUCUCCGAGGUCAAUCAGUGACUAAAUGGACGCAGUUUUAUAUUGACCCCUCAUCAUCCCAGAAAUAGCAUACAAUCUAGAUGAUAUUGUUGGCUUGGAUAAGUUAAUUAAGUUUGUCAGUAUUUAAAUAGCUAAAUGGUUCAUCCCUCUGUCUGAACAAAUUUAUAAAUUCUAUGGUUCUUUUUUUUCCUUGCCAAGUAAUGCAAAUCAACAAUGACUUCAAUGCCUUAUCUUUUUAUGAUGAUCAUUUUCUACUUAUUUGAUGCCCCUCUUAUAUUUUGAUUAUGCUGUUGAUUUCCAGCAGACAAGCUUCAUGCUCUGUCACUAACGGCGAGGACAGAUGAUUGUCCCGUAAUGCUUGAGAUUGUGUUUUCACGAUCGAUGAAAUUUUCAUGGUUUGAUUCCCUUUAUGAUCAUGCUUACCUAUGUACUACUAAUCUCAAGGUGAGCACAAAAAACCCGUUUUGUUGUGUCCACCAUAUACCAGUUUGUAUGCAGAUUCCAGACUUUCAGUCUAGAAUUUGUAUAUCCUUUUGAACAGGUAAGCAUAAUCCAUGAUUUGAUGAUUAUUUCAAAUUUAUUACUGAUUUUUUAUUUACCUAGCUCUAGCUUACGUUUUUUUUAAUGGUUUACAGCUAACAAUCUAACUGUCUUUGUAACUCUAUAUAUUGCUGAACAUUUAGUGUAACCCAGCUUUCCCAUAUGCAUCGAUUUGGAAAAAAAAAGUUGCUCACUUAGGAUCUUCAAAAAUUUAUAUGUUACAUAUUAUUUUCAACUAACAAUUAUUUGUAGAUAACCUUGGCUUAUUGAUUGCUUUUACAACAUUUUACCUCCUGGGAAUGUAAAAUUAGAAAUGGCAUGCUUCUUUGUUACCUUCUCCUAUGAUCAUGUUCAGCUGAUUUGCUGCCCUCCUCCCUUUUCCCCUUCUACUUUGAAUAGCUGAAACUCAAGCUCUCUUCGACUAACAAUGAAGACAGAUAAUUGACCUAUGCUUAAGAUAAUCAUAUACUAUCAUCACCAUGCUGUUGUAUUUGGCUAAAAUACCAGGAACAAGCUCCAUAGCUUAUUGAAUUAUAUUGUGAUAACUACAUUAGUCUGUAAGUCAAGACAUAAUUCCAAGAUAUGAUGCAUCUAGCCAAAAAUUAUUUGAAUAUAGUUGCAGCCUCUUAUUCUUAUGCACGCGCGCAGCGUAGCGCGCGAUUAUUGCUAGUUACUCUGAAACGCAAAUGGGAAGUGAAUGUGUUGGUGGGGGUCAGCAUGAGAAGAUAACACUGUUUAAUUUAUUGUAUAUUUUUGUUGCUUAAUUGAAUGAGUGCUUGGAGCACUCACUAAAACCAGCAGCAACAUGCAUGCUGAUUUGGUAGCAAUAA